UACAUAGGGGGCAAGCGUUGUCCGGAUUUAUUGGGCGUAAAGAGCGUGUAGGCGGUCAGGUAGGUCGGUUGUGAAAACUGGAGGCUCAACCUUCAGAGGUCGACCGAAACCCCCUGGCUAGAGUCCGGGAGAGGAGAGUGGAAUUCCUGGUGUAGCGGUGAAAUGCGCAGAUAUCAGGAAGAACACCCGUGGCGAAAGCGGCUCUCUGGAACGGUACUGACGCUGAGACGCGAAAGCGUGGGGAGCGAACAGG
rnacentral:rRNA from 1 species